GAGAAGCUUGCUUCUCUUGAGAGCGGCGGACGGGUGAGUAAUGCCUAGGAAUCUGCCUGGUAGUGGGGGAUAACGUUCGGAAACGGACGCUAAUACCGCAUACGUCCUACGGGAGAAAGCAGGGGACCUUCGGGCCUUGCGCUAUCAGAUGAGCCUAGGUCGGAUUAGCUAGUUGGUGAGGUAAUGGCUCACCAAGGCGACGAUCCGUAACUGGUCUGAGAGGAUGAUCAGUCACACUGGAACUGAGACACGGUCCAGACUCCUACGGGAGGCAGCAGUGGGGAAUAUUGGACAAUGGGCGAAAGCCUGAUCCAGCCAUGCCGCGUGUGUGAAGAAGGUCUUCGGAUUGUAAAGCACUUUAAGUUGGGAGGAAGGGCAUUAACCUAAUACGUUAGUGUUUUGACGUUACCGACAGAAUAAGCACCGGCUAACUCUGUGCCAGCAGCCGCGGUAAUACAGAGGGUGCAAGCGUUAAUCGGAAUUACUGGGCGUAAAGCGCGCGUAGGUGGUUUGUUAAGUUGGAUGUGAAAUCCCCGGGCUCAACCUGGGAACUGCAUUCAAAACUGACUGACUAGAGUAUGGUAGAAGGUGGUGGGAAUUUCCUGUGUAGCGGUGAAAUGCGUACAUAUAGGA
rnacentral:rRNA from 1 species